ensembl:lncRNA
CACGUCCAUUGCUCUCAAGGCGAGCAAGAUCUCCAGAAAUGUGAUGACUCAUGUGGGGAAGAGAGAGGCCCGUCCCAUUGUUGUGGAGCUGGCUGAGAAGCUCCUGCCUCUUUUCAGUCAUGUGUCAAGUGAAGUGCGCGAAGGCUCCAUCCUCCUCUUCAAAGAUGUGAUGGAAGCUGCCGUGUGGUGGCAGAAGAGAAACAUGAGGAAGACUGUGCACAGGGGCCUGCUCCCUCUGCUCUUUCAGAUGAGCGAUGAGACCCCAAGUGUUGCAGAGGCCUCUGGAGAAGCCCUCGUACGUUGUGCAAAGUUCCUGAACUGGAAGGAGCUCAAGCGCCAGGCCAAGAGAAAGGGAAAAAUGGAGAUCAAGGAGUGCUUGCUGCGGCAGGACAGGCAGACGGCGAAUGAAUACCUUUGGCUGAGCCUGCCAUACCUGCAAAAUUCUCAGGCCUCUUUGCGAUAUGAGGCUGUUGAAUUCAUUGGGCUGGCUUUGCAGCACUCCGGACACCAAAGCAGGGAGAAGCUGAAUGUAAUUUGCAGUG